rnacentral:rRNA from 1 species
GACGGAGGGGGCUAGCGUUGUUCGGAAUUACUGGGCGUAAAGGGCGCGUAGGCGCCAAUCAGGUUAGGCGUGAAAUCCCUGGGCUUAACCCAGGAACUGCGUUUAAUACUGAUUGGCUAGAGAUUGGUAGAGGAAAAGUGGAAUUCCUAGUGUAGAGGUGAAAUUCGUAGAUAUUAGGAAGAACACCAGAGGCGAAGGCGACUUUCUGGGCCAAUACUGACGCUGAGGCGCGAAAAGCGUGGGGAGCAAACAGG